rnacentral:rRNA from 1 species
UACGUAGGGUCCAAGCGUUAUCCGGAAUCACUGGGCGUAAAGCGUGCGUAGGUGGCGCGUUAAGUGAGAUGUUAAAUCGUGUGGCUCAACCAUAUCGAUGCAUCUCAUACUGGCGUGCUAGAGGACAGCAGAGGCAAGUGGAAUUGGUAGUGUAGCAGUGAAAUGCGUAGAUAUCAGGAGGAACACCGGUGGCGAAGGCGGGUCUCUGGGCCGAUACUGACACUGAGGAGCGAAAGCGUGGGGAGCGAACAGG